UCCUUAGUUUAAGUUCUAGAAUUGUAAUUUGUCAGGUUGCGGGUACAACUUUGAGGUGUUGUAGGAU
rnacentral:tRNA from 1 species